rnacentral:sRNA from 1 species
GGCAUUAAUGGACAAGUAGGAAGCCAA